rnacentral:rRNA from 1 species
UACAGAGGUCUCAAGCGUUGUUCGGAUUCAUUGGGCGUAAAGGGUGCGUAGGCGGCGCGGUAAGUCGGGUGUGAAAUCUCGGAGCUCAACUCCGAAACUGCAUUCGAUACUGCCGUGCUUGAGGACUGGAGAGGAGACUGGAAUUUACGGUGUAGCGGUGAAAUGCGUAGAUAUCAGGAGGAACACCGGUGGCGAAGGCGGGUCUCUGGGCAAUAACUGACGCUGAGGAGCGAAAGCGUGGGGAGCGAACAGG